rnacentral:rRNA from 1 species
GAUGAACGCUGGCGGCGUGCUUAACACAUGCAAGUCGAACGGAAAGGCUCCUGCUUGCAGGGGUACUCGAGUGGCGAACGGGUGAGUAACACGUGGGUGAUCUGCCCUGCACUUCGGGAUAAGCCUGGGAAACUGGGUCUAAUACCGGAUAGGACGAUGGUUUGGAUGCCAUUGUGGAAAGUUUUUCGGUGUGGGAUGAGCUCGCGGCCUAUCAGCUUGUUGGUGGGGUAAUGGCCUACCAAGGCGUCGACGGGUAGCCGGCCUGAGAGGGUGUACGGCCACAUUGGGACUGAGAUACGGCCCAGACUCCUACGGGAGGCAGCAGUGGGGAAUAUUGCACAAUGGGCGCAAGCCUGAUGCAGCGACGCCGCGUGGGGGAUGACGGCCUUCGGGUUGUAAACUCCUUUCGUUAGGGACGAAGCGAAAGUGACGGUACCUGGAUAAGAAGCACCGGCUAACUACGUG